AUUGAACGCUGGCGGCAGGCCUAACACAUGCAAGUCGAACGGUAGCACAGAGGAGCUUGCUCCUCGGGUGACGAGUGGCGGACGGGUGAGUAAUGUCUGGGGAUCUGCCCGAUAGAGGGGGAUAACCACUGGAAACGGUGGCUAAUACCGCAUAACGUCGCAAGACCAAAGAGGGGGACCUUCGGGCCUCUCACUAUCGGAUGAACCCAGAUGGGAUUAGCUAGUAGGCGGGGUAACGGCCCACCUAGGCGACGAUCCCUAGCUGGUCUGAGAGGAGUACCAGCGACACUGGAACUGGGACACGGUCCAGACUCCUACGGGAGGCAGCAGUGGGGAAUAUUGCACAAUGGGCGCAAGCCUGAUGCAGCCAUGCCGCGUGUAUGAAGAAGGCCUUCGGGUUGUAAAGUACUUUCAGCGGGGAGGAAGGCGAUGUGGUUAAUAACCGCGUCGAUUGACGUUACCCGCAGAAGAAGCACCGGCUAACUCCGUGCCAGCCGCCGCGGUAA
rnacentral:rRNA from 1 species